rnacentral:rRNA from 1 species
AUACGAAGGGGGCUAGCGUUGUUCGGAUUUACUGGGCGUAAAGCGCACGUAGGCGGAUUGAUAAGUUAGGGGUGAAAUCCCGAGGCUCAACCUCGGAACUGCCUCUAAAACUAUCAAUCUAGAGACCGGAAGAGGUGCGUGGAACUCCUAGUGUAGAGGUGGAAUUCGUAGAUAUGAGGAAGAACACCAGUGGCGAAGGCGGCUCACUGGUCCGGUACUGACGCUGAGGUGCGAAAGCGUGGGGAGCGAACAGGAUUAGAUACCCCAGUAGUCC